ensembl:misc_RNA
GUACAAUCUUAAAAUCUUCCCAUUUUAGAAGAUUGUUUCCAAGUAUUUCUUUUGUGUUUUUUAACCUAUAAAAGAUAAUGGAAUAUCUUUUAUAGGUUGGAUUUUAUCUUAUCCCCUUUCCCUCUCCUGACUGCACUCAGUUUAAUAGCUGUCAGUUUUUUUUCUCAGUGUUGGAUUUAAUUAUAUAGGACCAAAACAUUCCUCGGUAAAUUAGGUUGCUAAAUGUUUUGUCACUUGUGAUUUUGCCUUUGAGAAACGGCUUAAUUAUAGAAAUCUAUCU